CGUCGCCUGGCGAAGGGGAUCGCCGAGAGCGCUCCUGGUCGUCUGCUCAGCACCCUCUGGUUCAAUGCCUGGGGCUUCGAC
rnacentral:tRNA from 2 species